rnacentral:rRNA from 1 species
UACGUAGGGGGCAAGCGUUGUCCGGAUUUAUUGGGCGUAAAGAGCUCGUAGGUGGUUCGGUAAGUCGGAUGUGAAAUCUCCAGGCUCAACCUGGAGGGGUCAUUCGAUACUGCCGUGACUAGAGUUCGGUAGGGGAGUGUGGAAUUCCUGGUGGAGCGGUGAAAUGCGCAGAUAUCAGGAGGAACACCCGUAGCGAAGGCGGCACUCUGGGCCGAUACUGACACUGAGGAGCGAAAGCUAGGGGAGCGAACGGG